AGCAGCCGCGGUAAUUCCAGCUCCAAUAGCGUAUAUUAAAGUUGUUGCAGUUAAAAAGCUCGUAGUUGAAUUUCGGGGUUAGUAGGUUGGUCAUGCCUCUGGUAUGUACUGGUCUCACUGAUUCCUCCUUCCUGAUGAACCUUAAUGCCAUUUAUUUGGUGUUUUGGGGAAUUUGGACUGUUACUUUGAAAAAAUUAGAGUGUUUAAAGCAAGCUAACGCUUGAAUACAUUAGCAUGGAAUAAUGAAAUAGGACGUUCGAUCCUAUUUUGUUGGCUUCUAGGAUUGACGUAAUGAUUAAUAGGGAUAGUUGGGGGCAUUAGUAUUCAAUUGUCAGAAGUGAAAUUCUUGGAUUUAUUGAAGACUAACUACUGCGAAAGCAUUUGCCAAGGAUGUUUUCAUUAAUCAAGAACGAAAGUUAGGGGAUCGAAGACGAUCAGAUACCGUCGUAGUCUUAACCAUAAACUAUGCCGACUAGGGAUCGGAUGAUGUUAAUUUUUUAAUGACUCAUUCGGCGCCUUA
rnacentral:rRNA from 1 species